rnacentral:lncRNA from 1 species
GGGGCUUGUGGCUUCAUGGACCAUCCUGGUAAGCUGUGGCUCCUUUUUAGGCUCAUACCACAUGAAUGGCAAAGAGACUCCUUCAACAUGGUGGUGGUGGAGUAACCCUGUCUCUAACCUCAGAAGGAAGUGAACCAGGAAUGGCAGAUGAGGCCAACAAGGUUCCCAAGUGCAUGCCCAGUCGCAUCGAAAUGAUGGGACACAGCAGGGGCCAGUCUCUUCUUCUUCCAGCUGGAAUUGCAACACAAGCAAUACAGUCAUGAUGACCUUCGGAGUCACUCAGAUCUUCCUGCUCCAGGUGUACAGCCAUGUAGAAGCCUUGUGGCCAGAACAAAUUCUCAUCUGACUUAAUAAUGAAGGGAGGACACUGUUCAUACUAUUCCUCAUGGCUGGCAGAAAGUUUUUCCAUACAGUAUGGAGCCAGAAAAUUAACCUCCAGAGGGAGCCUCAUCUUCGCCAACGAUUUUGUAACAAGCAAGUGUUUAAAGCAACAAGACCCCAAAGGGAAAAUGCUCCAGCAACAGGGAGACCAUGUGUUCAGUGCUCUCCUCAACUACGCAGCCAGCUUCUGCUUUCCAUCACUUUGCACGUCAGUCAUGACCAGUUUAAAGCAAAUUUAUUAAUCCUGCUGUAUAAUUAAAACCCCAAUGUUGCAGUUGCGUAUUUACCCACAUCACAACUUGCAGUAAUCACAGUGCAUGGCAGAAUUUCUGGUGAUUGCUUUUUCCAAUCACAACCUUGAUUAGCAAUAUGCAGAUUUUACAGGUAUCAUUGAGACUAUGGGACAUGGAGGGACUGAAUAAGAUGUAGCACAGGACCAGCCUCCGAUGAGUUUUAGCACAAGGCAACAACUAAUUGACCCUGGGCAAGUCAGCCUCAUUCCAGGCAUCUAUAUACAAAGUGUUAUGUACCACAAGGCAGAGUAGAAAGCAGUCAGUUCUGUGUUACACACCGUUCUGACCAUUGCCAAAUGAAAAAUCCUAGGUAGUGUUAUUUCAGAUUCUAAUAAAUAUUUAUGUCAGCCAGCA